AAAUGUUUUGUGCAUGUCACACUGUAUAGACGAGAUCAAGGAUCCACUGCAUCGAUGUGCCUAACUCCCCCCUCAUGGAGUCACAGCAGAGCCAGGAGGAUGAAAUUCGCCUCUUCUAGCUCCACAUGGAUUCAAGCAGAGGAGGAGGAAGUCUCCAAAGAUCUCCUCUGUCCCUGUUUCUGGAUCCAACCCAUGCCAUCUCCACUAACACAGCAGGCCAAUGAUUUUCAAGCCCAGUUAUUCCUAACUCCUUUCAUCUAGGCCCAGAGGUCUUUUCUUUGCCAAAAAUCUACCCAAAGCAUUUUGAGCUCUGGAUGGUAGAAUCUCACUAAGGAGGGUUGGAAGAAAGACACUGAAAAUUGUGAUUCAGAUACCUGAUGGGCUUACACUUCUGGGGACCUCUGUGUGAUGGGGUACAAUGUUCUAUUGGCAGGAAGUGGAAGCUAAGAGAAGUGGAGUCUACCCAACAUUCAGCACAUCUGUCCCCAAGCCCAAGUUCAGCAAGGUGAAGAACUGGAAAUUCCAUGGUAUGAAGACAGACAAAGGAAGAGAUUCAGUAUCAGGUCACUGGGAUAGGAGGUUUGCCAAAAGAGGAUGGAGCAAAGGAAAGAGCAAACUCAUAGUGAGGAGACAAAGGCAGGGGAGAGGUAGGAAGCAGGUCUCUGCUCUUGUUGCCACAUUGGCCGAGAGAAGGGCGUUGAGCAGGAAAAGGGGUGAUCAGGAAAAGUGAAACCUCAAGCAAUGCUUUAAAAAAUAUCAGUUAGCACAUGCAAGUAACUGAAAACUCACUCACGUAACCAAACAAGUGCAGAGGUAGGGCAGUGAUCAGGUGGAGCCUGGGCAGGUCUGUGGAUCUGAUGGCAGUCAUGGGAAGGCUGCCGCAGUCUAGGGACUCACAUCCAGACAUAACCACAUUUAGAAGAAAGAAGAGGUAGGUUAUGGUAGCUCAGUCAGAAAAGAAUGCUCUUUUCCAGAUGCACCCAGCAAACUCCUCAUCACAUUGCAUGAGCCCAGACUGAAUCAUUUGCCCAUUCUUGAAUGAAAUCUUAUGUCCAAGGAAAUAUCACAUGAUGACUGGCUUAGAUCUGGGUUACUAGAAACAAUUUCUAUAGCAACAAGGGUGGAUGGGGUUACUCUGAUUGAGUAACGAAUUCUCAGUGCUUCCUCGGAUGGUACAUAACUAGUACGAUGUAGAUUAAUAGGAGAAAAGAUAACUCAUUACAUCAGAACAGAUGACUCAGGGCAUUAAGGCUUAGUUCUGAUGAAUCCCAUAAAAAUCAACCCCCAAGUUUUAGCGCCUUUUAAAAACAAAGGUUGAUUUCUCAUUCAUAUGAAAUAUCCAAUGAGGGUUGUCUGGGAGCUUUGCUGCAGUCUCCCUCAGAGGGCCAGGCAGAUAGCGUUUCCGUCAUCUGGAAUGUCCCUAGUUGCAGUGGCAAGGGGAAAAAACAGUGAUUUUCACACUGCCUCAUAAGCCUCUACCUGGAAGUGACAGGUCAAUUCCACUUGCAUUUCACUAACCAAAGCAAGUCACACAGCCACUUCUAACUUUAAGGCAGUAGGAGGUGCAAUUUGACAUUAUACCUGGAAGGAAAAUAUUUGCCAGUAGCCCUCAUAACUACCACACAACGCUGGCAAGAGUUAGGUGAGAUGGACACUCACAGGCAUCCUGGCAGCAAUGCAAAUCGGCACAGAUUCUCUAGAAGGCAAGUCGGAAAUGCAUGUUCAGCAUCUAACGGGAAGCUGAUUCUCUUCUUCAUGUAAUCUUCUCUUAGGAAGCAGAAACUCAGAUAAAGAUUAUGAACAAAUGUGUAUGUUGAAGCACUGCAUAUAGAAACAAAAAACCAAAUAACCACAAUGUCCAACAGCAGGGUAAUGCUAAAUAAAUCAAAGUAUAGCCAUAUGAUGGAUAAUUGU
rnacentral:lncRNA from 1 species